GACGAACGCUGGCGGCGUGCCUAAUACAUGCAAGUUGAGCGCUGAAGGUUGGUACUUGUCCCAACUGGAUGAGCAGCGAACGGGUGGGUAACGCGUGGGGAAUCUGCCUUUGAGCGGGGGACAACAUUUGGAAACGAAUGCUAAUACCGCAUAAAAACUUUAAACACAAGUUUUAAGUUUGAAAGAUGCAAUUGCAUCACUCAAAGAUGAUCCCGCGUUGUAUUAGCUAGUUGGUGAGGUAAAGGCUCACCAAGGCGAUGAUACAUAGCCGACCUGAGAGGGGGACAGGCCCACUUGGGACUGAAACACGGCCCAAACUCCUACGGGGGGCAGCAGUAGGGAAUCUUCGGAAAUGGACGAAAGUCUGACCGGGCAACGCCGGGUGGGUGAAGAAGGUUUUGGGAUCGUAAAACUGUGUGGGAAGGGAAGAACGUUGGGGGGGGUGGAAAGCCCAUCAAGUAACGGAAACGACCAAGAAGAGGAGGCUUAAUUACGU
rnacentral:rRNA from 1 species